ACUCAAUUGUAAGCUCUUUUAGAUGAUUAUCUGUGGAGUUUUGUUUCUCUCGUUUUCUCUCUGAAUUCUUUGUUUUCACAUAGUUGAAAAGGAACAACACGAGAUCUUCCAGUUGAAGAACAUAUCAUCAAUUUGUGUUGAUUCAACAUGAUACGAUUUCGGUCACAAGGUAAUAUCCAUUAUCCAGAGGGUCGUAAAUGAUGCAAAGAUCUGAAUAGCUAGCACGAAGGGCUCCUUAAUUUGUUCUUCUUCUAUUUCAUUUUGUUUUACCCCUUUCAAUUUUGUUAGUAGAAAAGUUAUCAAACAUUUUUAGUAAUAAAAUUAGCUCCUGUGGGCUUAUCUUUUUUAUA